GCUCUUGUGGUGUAGAGGUUAGCAUCUGGGAUUUUGAUACCUUUAUCAAGAUCUUCCCGUGACCCCGGUUCGAAUCCGGGCAGGAGCU
rfam:Aspergillus ruber CBS 135680 unplaced genomic scaffold scaffold00032, whole genome shotgun sequence.